GUGGGGAAUUUUGGACAAUGGGCGAAAGUCUGAUCCAGCCAUGCCGCGUGCAGGAUGAAGGCCUUCGGGUUGUAAACUGCUUUUGUACGGAACGAAAAGACUCCUUCUAAUAAAGGGGGUCCAUGACGGUACCGUAAGAAUAAGCACCGGCUAACUACGUGCCAGCAGCCGCGGUAAUACGUAGGGUGCAAGCGUUAAUCGGAAUUACUGGGCGUAAAGCGUGCGCAGGCGGUUAUAUAAGACAGAUGUGAAAUCCCCGGGCUCAACCUGGGAACUGCAUUUGUGACUGUAUAGCUAGAGUACGGUAGAGGGGGAUGGAAUUCCGCGUGUAGCAGUGAAAUGCGUAGAUAUGCGGAGGAACACCGAUGGCGAAGGCAAUCCCCUGGACCUGUACUGACGCUCAUGCACGAAAGCGUGGGGAGCAAACAGGAUUAGAUACCCGAGUAGUCC
rnacentral:rRNA from 1 species